UCGUUUUCACUGAUCUAUCUCAAAACGCAUCGCACCUGUCGCCAUACUGGUAAAGACAUGCAGUCCGUGUGGUGUAGUUUGAGCUGGCGAA